rnacentral:rRNA from 1 species
CCUACGGGUGGCAGCAGUGGGGGAUAUUGCACAAUGGGGGAAACCCUGAUGCAGCGACGCCGCGUGGGUGAAGAAGCGCCUCGGCGCGUAAAGCCCUGUCAGUAGGGAAGAAAAUGACGGUACCUGAAGAAGAAGCCCCGGCUAACUACGUGCCAGCAGCCGCGGUAAUACGUAGGGGGCAAGCGUUAUCCGGAUUUACUGGGUGUAAAGGGGGCGCAGACGGGGUAGCAAGCCAGGGGUGAAAGCCUGGGGCUCAACCCCGGGACUGCAUUUGAAACUGCGUGUCUAGAGUGCAGGAGGGGCAGGCGGAAUUCCUGGUGUAGCGGUGAAAUGCGUAGAUAUCAGGAGGAACACCGGUGGCGAAGGCGGCCUGCUGGACUGCAACUGACGUUGAGGCCCGAAAGCGUGGGGAGCAAACAGGAUUAGAUACCCGAGUAGUC